CCCUUAGAUGUUCUGGGCCGCACGCGCGCUACACUGUUCGACGCAGCGAGUCUUAACCUUGACCGAAAGGUUUGGGUAAUCUUCAGCAAAGUCGAACGUGAUGGGGAUCGAUCAUUGCAAUUAUUGAUCGUGAACGAGGAAUUCCUAGUAAGUGCAAGUCAUCAGCUUGCGCUGAUUACGUCCCUGCCCUUUGUACACACCGCCCGUCGCUCCUACCGAUUGAAUGUGUUGGUGAGGAGCUCGGAUUGGCAGCAGUUGGUGGUUCGCCACCGGCUAUUGCUGAGAGGUCCUCCAAACCGCCCCAUUUAGAGGAAGGAGAAGUCGUAACA
rnacentral:rRNA from 1 species